rnacentral:lncRNA from 1 species
GGUACAACCGAGAAAAUAAAAAACAAUAGGAGAGAGAGAAGAGAACCCUAAUCUCAUUCGUUUUACAAAGACCAUACAGAGACCGAGAGAGACAGAGCCAGAAGACGAAGAUGUCGACUCCGCAGCAAGAAGAGGACAAGAAGCCCAACGAUCAAGCUGCCCACAUCAACCUCAAAGUGAAAGGCCAGGUCCUUAUUUCUUAUCUGAACUUCACCCAUCUGUGUUCUUUGGUUGUUUUUUCUUUUUAUUUUUUUUUAUUUUUUUUUUCCUUUUGUUGAUUGUAAUUUUGGCCUCUCAUGAGUUCUUCAAGUUUUUGUUUUUAAGAAUUAUUUGAAGUUAAUAUGUUGCAUGUUCUUUUGGCCUUUUAGGGGUUUUUUUUGCAAAAUGCCUGCUUAUGUUUUUCUUUCCUUUUUUUUAUUCAUAAAGACUAUCAGUUUAAUUUUAAUAUGAUUCAGAUUGUAUGAUUUCUGAGAAAGCUGACCGCGGGAAAGAAAAUGCAUAAGAGGGUUGUUGUUUUUCAAUUCCCACAGCCUAGUUUUUGUUUGGCUUAAGGUAUUUAGAUUGAUAUAAUGAUUAGGCUGUGUUUGGUUGCUGUUUUAUGCUUAUAUCCGUGGUCUAUAAUCUCUUGUAAUUCCGGCUGUACUUCAUUUACCCUUUUAUUAUUUUGUAAUACUAUUGUUUUUAUUCUUGCCCAUUAUGAUGAUUUUGCUUCCUAAGUAAUUGAAUUGUGUGUGUUCUUAUCUCCUUGAAGUAUGUUUGUCAUUGUUCUGUAUUGUCUUUUGUCAUGAUAAUAAGAUAGUGGGUGAUUUGUUUGUUGAGUUGCAUUUAGUUCCAUUUAUUUAUGUCUCCAUCCCAUAACUUUACCGUCUCGUGUUCAUUUAAUUCCAUUUUUGCAAUAGAGUUUGAGAUUUUCUUGUUGGUAAUUCCAAAAGUAUUGAAUCAUAAUCUACGAAUUUGUCUGUGAGUGUUAUGCUCUGAAGAUAGAGAUUAUUGUCGUGAAAACUUCGGUGAGCAGAUGAAUGAUGAUUUUGUAUUUCAUUUGCAGGAUGGGAAUGAAGUGUUUUUCAGGAUCAAACGAAGCACUCAACUGAAGAAGCUUAUGAACGCAUAUUGUGAUCGCCAGUCUGUGGAGCUGAAUUCAAUUGCCUUCUUGUUUGAUGGUCGCCGUCUACGAGCAGAGCAGACGCCUGAUGAGGUCCCUCUCUCUUCUAUCACAUUUACAUAAUUUACAUGUGUCUCCUCAUACACACACGGCCAUUCACUUGGAACCACAAGUGUACACAGUCACUCAUGUUUUCUGCAGGAUGAUGAAUUGUUUGUAUUGUUUCCUUGUUUCAGCUGGAAAUGGAGGAUGGUGAUGAGAUUGAUGCAAUGCUUCAUCAAACUGGAGGAGCCGUACAGAUUUGAUACUAUAUGCUCUUAUUGGAAGGAAGCUGUUGUUAUGAUGAAGACCACUGUGUUCUAUGGAUCUAGGGUAUCAAGCAUUAGGUUUUUUAGUUUUGUACAAGACCUUUUGUAGUAGUAUUUUGAUUAAGUAAAUUGAUGUGGAACUUGGCAUCUGAGUAUGGUUUUCCUUUUAAUUUCAUAGUCUUGUGUGGCAAGGCUGUAUUUUAAUCCAAUUAGAAUUUGAUGUAUAAUUUCUACUCAUAUAGUGUUUCCAUUGUCAUCCCUUUCGCUCUCCUGUUUUUUCAUUCAUCGUAAAAAAUUUGACUGCUUAAACGAUUACCAG